ACAGGAUUAAAUGGUACAUUAUUCAAAAUAGGGAAGCAUAACACUGGCAGAUGUGAAUAUUGUGAGGAACAACAGACAGUUGAACAUAUAUGACACACUGUGAGAAAAGUUCAUAAAGAACAAGAGAAGAAGACUUCCCAACAGCAGGGGGCGCACUCCAACAAUCUGAAAGGUGUUCGUUUGCCUGAGGAAGAAGAACGUGAUGUCACAGCUAACAACAUUAGCACCACACAGUGGAGAAUUUAGGAGGGGAAGCAAAAAACAGCAAACUUCCAGAGCUACGUCCCAGGAAGCCCAACUUUUGCUCGGCCUAUGGGUGCGCAAAUUAAAGGACACUAGGAACCAGAUCCUGGGGAAUUACCUUCCAUAAGUUUACACUGAAACAUUUUUUGCUUCUAUCCACCCUGAGGUCAACCACGUCACCACCAGAAAUAAGAAUAAGGGACAGCAUGUUUGUUUCGCAUCCUGACACUCCCUGAGGAUAUCAAAGGAACCCAAAGAGUUCAUUGAAGGAUGCUACGAACCCUGACACAAUAGUGGCGGCAUCCUUGAUCCCAUCCCAGAGGGAGUUCAUGUCUGAACUGGUAUGUAUGUAAAGUCUAGGCUAGUGAAAUUUCAUUCAGUUUUAUUCGUGGGCUAGCAGUAAAUCUGAUCUGAAAUGACCCAAGUGUGCUCACAAUAGAGCUGCAACAAUUCAUCAAUAAAUUGAACAGUAAUCCUUUAUUUAAUGAAUUGGCAACUAUAAUCAGUUUGAGUAGUUUUUUAAGCAUAAGAUAAGAUAGUCUUUAUUGAUCUCACAUUGGAGAAAUUCACUUGUCACAUCAGCUCAAUAGUCAAUCAAUAGUCAGGAGUAAGAAAGGGUGCGUCAGUUAUAUACAGUGUAUCUUCCUAUAUACAGUGGAUCAAAAAGAAAAUGAGAAAAAAAAUAAGA